CUGCUGCUGCUGCUGCUGCUGUUGCUGCUGCUGCCGCCGAUACCGCCGCCGUUGCCGCCGCCGUUGCCGCCGCCGUUGCCGCCGCCGUUGCUGCCAUUGAAGGAACGCAUACCCGCCUUCGGACGCGGUCGGCUCGCCUGUUCGUGCGAGCAAGCAGGAAAAAGGCCGACCACCUACUCGCCUACACUACUGAAGACCGAUGGCUACCACUAGUUCGAUCGUACGUGCGUGCGGAUCAAAAUCCGCAUAGCGUCUUCUUCAACUGAUUUAUUUUCGCCUCUAUCUUUUAAUAAUCAUCUCUUGAGUGUUUUUAUCAAUUAUAAAAUAUUUCUUUUGAUUUGAAUUUUUUCGCUUUGAAAGGGCAAAACAUACAAUGUGAUAUUUGAAACGAUUUGGAAUUUAAAAAACGUGUUAUGAAAAGUACUAUGGGAUCAACACACGAAUUUCUAUGUAAUAUUUUGCAAAACAAAUCUCUAUUAAUUUCGAAUUGCUUGCGUUAGGAAUAAUUUACUUAAUAUAAAUGUAAAUCAAUAUGGACAAUUGCUAAAAUUUGAUCGAUUCUGGGUGAUAGCAUCUUCUGCCGACAAAAUUAUUAGUGGCAUUUGAAGAUCCCACAAAGAGGGAUCUUCUAAGACCUUUCACACGCAUAAACGAUCCGUUGCUUUUCUCAAUGAACAGAAUUGAAUGCGAAGCAAUAAUAUUGAAUUAACAACGAACUCGUUAUGUAUACGAUGACUACGUUGCCCAUAAUAAUGGAUUAUUAUUUGCAUUCUAAAUUUCUCUUACCAAAUAUAUAUUCUCUUUAAGUAGUAAAGUGAAAGGAACGAAAAGAACAAGUUAAACGCAUCAAUAUUUGCGCAACGUUAAGGACUAUCUUGACAUCGAUAUUCGCGGUAGGUAAGAAAGGAAUCUCCAGAUCCGAAUUUGUCGCAGUCACGCUCGUCUAUUCCUGAAGACGUUCCCGAUGGACCGUCAGGGAGCUGUCAAUCACCGUUCAGGGACUUCUUGGAAUCCCCGAACGACGACACGUACUAGACGAGCCGUUCUAACCUAAACUGGAUGAUAAGCUAUCGUAAUUAACAUAUCCUUUUCUUAUCCUUUUGUACUAUUGCAUUUGCAAUAUUCAGAAUGGAAAUGCACAGUUGGUAUAAAUAAACGUGGAUAGCACGGAACGCACAUGUAUAGUGAAUGUAUACUUUUAUUAUACUUAUAUGUCUAGAAACGGAUGAUUACGUGUCCACAUGAAACAUGUAAAAAAAUCGAUAAAGACCUAAUGAAGGAGUGACGUGGAAAAAUUUUGGCAUGAGGAUUUGAAGGAUGGGGAAAGGAAUCGGUUCGUUGGGUGCGAGGUUCGCCGCGUCAUCCGACAAAUCGUGAAUCCGAGAGACACGAGGAAAGGAAAAUACCGGAAGAGGAGGGGCGUUUGAGCAAAGCAUCGGGACCAGGGGGCAAUUAGUUAAUUGAAUUGAUUGAUGGAUUUCGUUCGCGUAACGCGCGCUUCGACUCAACGUCUGAUUGAGAGUCUCCACUCGGCCUCCAUGUGUACACACAAACCGUCUACCCCGCAGCAUUUCGCACCCAAUAAAGGAUUCGAACGUGGCUUUUAGAAAGGCUAUGUAGGUAUUAGAAAAUUUCCUUCUGUGUGUAAAUAUUUGAAGAAUUUGACAAAGUUAUUCUAAUUACAACGCUGAGCUAAACUAGCUUUACCACGCCCAAUAGAACCUUUCGAAAAUCAUUUUAAUGAAUACGAAGAUAAAUUCAACAAUAAGAUUACUUCUCGCGGGUGCCUCUCGAAUUAGAAUCGUGGAUCUCGCGAGUAUGGUUAAUCCAGUUUUAAAAUGCGCUACAGACACACUAAUAAGUUGAAACCAGUCAAUUAGAGCGCUUGCUCCGGCGUCCUAAGCAAACACUUGCAGGUGUUUGAACGGCGUUCGCGGCUAUGGUGGGUACGGUCGGUGCGAGGAGGUGUAAGGCCAACGAGAAAGGGUAAAAGCUCCCUCGGUAUGGUGUCUACUAAUGUAAUAUCGCGCAUGGGAGGCAAGAAUAGAUGGAGAAAUGCGUCGACGAGCUCAUAGAUGAGACUCCAAACCAAGUUACAUCUUCUAAUUCUCUAUAUGUUGGAUGGACAAAAAAUAUUUAUAUUCAUUUUAUAAAAAAUAGUGGCGCAUUUUUGAUGAUAAAAUAGUCAUUUAAUGUGAUAUAGGAAGAUACUCGAUUAAUUGCUACAAUCUUCAUUUUUUCCUUCACUUUUUAAUUCUCCUUUCUUCUCCCUCUUUCUGUCUUUGUUUUUCUCCUUCAUCGAUAUUUGUAAUCUUCGCGUUCGCUCGUCGUACGCACGUCAUUUGCCAUGUUGCCUUUCGACAAAACUUUCAAACAAACUCCGAAGCUUUAGAGAAGUGAAUCGCGCUGAGAGUGACAGAGGGAUGUCUUUCCAAAGACAAAGACCGCGCUUCUUGCUGAGACAGAGAGAAGAGUGGAAAGAGGAGGAAAAGGAGAAGAAGGGAGAGGACCUAGAGCUCUAUCCUUUCUUGUCUUUAGACAAUUCUGAGGGAAGACGGUUUAGGCUCGUUCACGAGAAACUCGGUAGAUCAAAGGGAUUUUGAAGAUCGUUCGGUAAAGCACGUUUGACUUUGUGACUCACGUUUUCAGAGAGCGUAUCAAUUAGACCACAUCAUUAGAAACGAUCCUACGUAGUAUCUACUACCACCACUAUUCGGACCAGACUUUACGUGUCGUGAAUGUACCUUUUCAACAAAGUUCUAACCCCGUUAACAUUGCGAAAGGCGUUACCGUCCGUAACAAAAGAGCGCGAAGUAGAUUACAAAUGUUUAUGAUAUACCGUGGAAAUACUUUGAGAUUCGUUUAUCGCCAGCUUUGCGAUGGAAUCACACUUUAAAAAGAAAUAAAUAUUUACUUAUUGUUAAAAGCUUUUCAAUGUUAACGUUAGAUUAACAUCAGAUCAUGAAAGUGAUUAAAAAUGAAUGAAUGAUAAACAUGUAUCAAAAUUAUGAGAGAUGUAUUUUUUACUGUAUACACAUCUAAAUUAUUGUAUACACAAGUCUAAAAAUCAAAUUGCGCUUAUGAUUGUUUUCUCUUUUAACAUAGCAAUAAAGGGUUCAAAAAAGAAAGAAAAAUAUGAUGCGAAAAUAAUCGUAAUCACAAAAUCGGAUAUUAUAUUGUAAUAACCUGUUAAUUGGGAAUGACAAGUUAACUCAUCAUAGGAAAAUACUUCUUCAGCGCAUAAUAUGAGUUAACUCAUCAAACAACUUUAAAGACUAUGCACAUAAAUUUUAAAUUGUAUAUAUCUUUUAUUUUUUAUUAUCAAUUCAUUGAGGACAGGCUUAUGUAUUACGAAAUAUAUAGAAAAUAUUAUAAUAAUAAAAUGGAAUGACAAAAAAAAUAUUUUCAUACUUGAUACAUUUCACAACGACGUAAUGGACAUAAUAAAUAAAUGUAGUAAUUGAAAAAUUAAUAUCACGCAGUCUUUAAUUAUAACAAGAAUAUGGGGUACGUGGACGUAAUUAACAUCCAAAUUGCAGCUUAUAAGGCAUCAAGAAAUGGACUAAAAAGAUAUUAUACAAAAAUAUUUUUAUACAUUUUGGAUAUUAUCUACAUGAAUUCGUAUGAGCUAACUAACGACAUGGUGGAAAGUUAUAUAAAAUAUAUUUCUUAGUGAAAUAUACUGAGAGAACUAUGGCACCUAAUAUACGCUUUCAUAUGAGUCACGAGAAUUUACAACUUUACCCAAUUAUCAAUCAGUUACUCCGAAAGCAACAUGCUUCACUGAAAGGCAUUUCUCAGAUUAUAUAUCUAGUUCAGCAUCCAAAAUAAAUGUAGCUCGUAGAUAUAUGCUGUGUUUAAUGAAAAAAAAUUCUUAAGAAAUCAAGAUAUUGGUAUACCAUAUGUGAAAUAAUAUUAUUCAAUUAUAUCAUGCUGUUCAAUAAAACUAAUUUUCUUUAAAAUUGUUA